UACGAAGGGGGGCUAGCGUUGCUCGGAAUCACUGGGCGUAAAGCGCACGUAGGCGGAUCUUUAAGUCAGGGGUGAAAUCCUGGAGCUCAACUCCAGAACUGCCUUUGAUACUGGGGAUCUCGAGUCCGGAAGAGGUGAGUGGAACUCCGAGUGUAGAGGUGAAAUUCGUAGAUAUUCGGAAGAACACCAGUGGCGAAGGCGGCUCACUGGUCCGGUACUGGACGCUGAGGUGCGAAAGCGUGGGGAGCAAACAGG
rnacentral:rRNA from 1 species